CGAACGUUAGCGGCGCGCUUAACACAUGCAAGUCGAACGAGAAAGCACCUUCGGGUGUGAGUACAGUGGCGCACGGGUGAGUAACACGUGGGUAAUCUACCUUUUGGUGGGGGACAACAUCCCGAAAGGGGUGCUAAUACCGCAUAAGUCCACUUCGGUGGGGAAAGACGGCUUCGGCUGUCGCCAGAAGAUGAGCCCGCGGCCCAUCAGCUUGUUGGUAGGGUAAUGGCCUACCAAGGCUACGACGGGUAGCUGGUCUGAGAGGAUGAUCAGUCACACUGGAACUGAGACACGGUCCAGACUCCUACGGGAGGCAGCAGUGGGGAAUAUUGCGCAAUGGGCGAAAGCCUGACGCAGCGACGCCGCGUGGGUGAUGAAGGUUUUCGGAUCGUAAAGCCCUGUGGGAGAGGGAAUAACAAGCAGUGGGUUAAUACCCCAUUGCCCUGAAGGUACCUCUCCAGAAAGCACCGGCUAACUCC
rnacentral:rRNA from 1 species